GAUGAACGCUAGCGGCAGGCUUAAUACAUGCAAGUCGAGGGGCAGCAUGACUGUAGCAAUACAGUUGAUGGCGACCGGCAAACGGGUGCGGAACACGUACACAACUUACCCUAGACUGGGGGAUAGCCUUCCGAAAGGGAGAUUAAUACCUCAUAGGAUCGUAGGAUGGCAUCAUCUAGCGAUUAAAGCUCAGGCGGUUUAGGAUGGGUGUGCGGCNGAUUAGGUAGCUGGCGGGGUAACGGCCCACCAAGCCUAUGAUCAGUAACUGGUGUGAGAGCACGACCAGUCACACGGGCACUGAGACACGGGCCCGACUCCUACGGGAGGCAGCAGUAAGGAAUAUUGGUCAAUGGACGCAAGUCUGAACCAGCCAUGCCGCGUGAAGGAUGAAGCCCUCUGGGUUGUAAACUUCUUUAUCUGGGAAGAAAUGCCUGUUUUCUAACGGGCUUGACGGUACCAGAGGAAUAAGCACCGGCUAACUCCGUG
rnacentral:rRNA from 1 species